rnacentral:misc_RNA from 1 species
AAAAAAAAAAAAAAAAAGGCUCUGUAUGCCAGCUACGAAAUAGAAAAACAUAAAGAGAAAACAGAAUCUUUAUUGCAAUUCAACAGUGUUAUGGGUGCGACAAUGAGUAACCCAAAUGAGAAACUGCGAGAAUUAAAAGAACCCAUUCCAGGUUAUCAAGUAACAUGCUUACCUUUCUUGUUUUUUUGGCUUUCUUUUGAGCCCAAAUCAGCAUGGGCAUUCUUCUGUCUGGCAACUUGGAGAUUUCACCGGAGUGUCUACCAAAGCUGUGAAG